rnacentral:lncRNA from 1 species
UUGAAUCAAUAAAAAAAAUAUUGAACAAUAAUUACUGUAACAAUUAUUGAGUAAUGCCUUCUUACGUAAGAAUCAAUAAUUUAAAAAUACUGUGCAAUACUGUGUGCUACUGUGCAACCACGUGUAUUACUGUAUUUUAACCACCGGGUAUUCCAACAAUGUUAACGGUAACAAUUACGUCGUUAUUUGUAAAAACUCAAACUUAUCGUUUUCUUCAUCCG